rnacentral:sRNA from 1 species
AGGAACUCUACUGGAAGAGAACAUGCUUCCUCUCCCCUCCUGCCACACUCCUGACCAGGCUCCCAAACAGCAGUCCUCAGGGAGCUGCACCCAUGCCAGUGGCCCCCUGCCCUGGCCACUUGCCUUGGGGCCGCUUCUCCUGGUCCCCAGCCGUGGUGGCAAUGAGAAGGGAUCGCCAGGGCAGACUGUGUGAGAUUCCUGCAGAGCCUCACUGCCUGCGCUCUCCUUGCAGAGUCAGAUAUCCGGCCCAGCAAGCUCCUAACCUGGUGCCAGCAGCAGACAGAGGGCUACCAGCAUGUCAACGUCACCGACCUGACCACAUCCUGGCGCAGUGGGUUGGCCCUGUGUGCCAUCAUCCACCGCUUCCGGCCUGAGCUCAUCAACUUUGACUCUUUGAAUGAAGAUGAUGCUGUGGAGAACAACCAGCUCGCAUUUGAUGUGGCUGAGCGAGAGUUUGGGAUCCCUCCAGUGACCACGGGCAAAGAGAUGGCGUCUGCCCAGGAGCCUGACAAGCUCAGCAUGGUCAUGUACCUCUCCAAGUUCUACGAGCUCUUCCGGGGCACCCCACUGAGGCCCGUAGAUUCUUGGCGCAAAAACUAUGGAGAAAAUGCUGACCUCAGCUUGGCCAAAUCAUCCAUUUCUAAUAACUAUCUCAACCUUACAUUUCCAAGGAAGAGGACUCCACGAGUAAGUUUUGGCCUGGUUUUGGUUUUAUUUCCCAUUGCACGUGGACGGGGUAUGAGGAACAG